CCGAAAAAAAAAACUAGGUUUUCGUGUCCAACGUUUGACUGUCCAUCUUAUAUGAAAAUUUUUUAUAAUUAAUAUUUUCAUUGUUGUUAGAUGAUAAAACAUGAUUAAUACUUUAUACAUUACUUAUCUUGUUAAUUUUUUUAAAUAUAACGGACGGUUAGAAACCUAGGGUUUAUGG
rnacentral:pre_miRNA from 1 species